UACGUAGGGGGCAAGCGUUGUCCGGAUUUAUUGGGCGUAAAGAGCGUGUAGGCGGUCAGGUAGGUCCGUUGUGAAAACUCGAGGCUCAACCUCGAGACGCCGAUGGAAACCAUCUGGCUAGAGUCCGGAAGAGGAGAGUGGAAUUCCUGGUGUAGCGGUGAAAUGCGCAGAUAUCAGGAGGAACACCGAUAGCGAAGGCAGCUCGCUGGGACGGUACUGACGCUGAGGCGCGAAAGCGUGGGGAGCGAACAGG
rnacentral:rRNA from 1 species